CGAUCCGUAGCUCAACGGCUGAGAGCGCCGCCCUGUCACGGCGGAGGAUGCGGGUUCGAAUCCCGUCGGGUCGA
rnacentral:tRNA from 1 species